UCAGGUCUCGGGGCCUCUAUUUUUUUUGGACGUGUAGGAUUAUUGGGAAGACAUCGAAAGGAUCUCGAGAGGAAAGUUGUUGUACGUGGAGAUUAAAGUGAGGUCUUUAUGGAUGGUGCGUUGGAAACAUAGAACGGGGCGUGGACGAUGGAUCUGACGAGUCUGAUUGUAGUGUCUGGAUUCCGAGGAGGAAGAUUGGAAUCUGGAUUGUGGAAGAGAAGGACGAUCAUCGCAAAUACAUUCGACGAGGAGAUAAGGGUUAAUCCUGAAAGGAGUGCACUGGUAGACGGAUAUAUUAGAUUUUCAUUUUU